CAAUCUUUGACGCAAUUGCGCUCUUGGGUAGCCCUAGGAGCACGCCUCUCUCAGUAUCGGUUCAACAACCUCUCAGCAGCGUCGGCAUUUAUGUUGGCGUGUUGGCUGGAAAAUGAGAGUCUGAGUCGUUCACGACGCAGUCUCUUUAAGUACAUCGAGUGAAGCAUCAUACUCAAGCUAAUUAAGCUGGUCUCUGACUGGUUGCUUGGUAGUGACGUGAAUACUGACCCUUGUGGUCUCACAUUUACGUGUAUCUGCCGGCAGCUAUGAAAAGUCUAGGAUCGGUGGCUCGAGAAGGUGCCUCAUGUUACGCGGCCUCACAGCUGCAAUCGGCUUCGAAAUAAGCUUCGGCUUAUGGACUAGUCUGAAUUUUGAUCUGAGAUGAAGCGAGACAACCCCCUGAAUUUAAGCAUAUUAAUAAGGGGAGGAAAAGAAACUAACAAGGAUUCCCCCAGUAACGGCGAGUGAAGCGGGAAGAGCUCAAUUUGAAAAUCGACUACCUAAGCGGGUCGUCGAGUUGUAGCCUAGAGACGUACUAUCAGCUGAAACCUGGGUAUAAGUUCUUUGGAAUGAGGCAUCAUAGAGGGUGAGAAUCCCGUAUAUGACCCAAAGCUUUCAGCGUACGAUGUAUGUUCAUCGAGUCGAGUUGUUUGGGAUUGCAGCUCUAAAUGGGUGGUAAGUUUCA
rnacentral:rRNA from 1 species